rnacentral:rRNA from 1 species
GUGGGGAAUAUUGGACAAUGGGGGGAACCCUGAUCCAGCCAUGCCGCGUGUGUGAAGAAGACCUUUUGGUUGUAAAGCACUUUAAGCGAGGAGGAGGCUACCGAGAUUAAUACUCUUGGAUAGUGGACGUUACUCGCAGAAUAAGCACCGGCUAACUCUGUGCCAGCAGCCGCGGUAAUACAGAGGGUGCAAGCGUUAAUCGGAUUUACUGGGCGUAAAGCGCGCGUAGGUGGCCAAUUAAGUCAAAUGUGAAAUCCCCGAGCUUAACUUGGGAAUUGCAUGCGAUACUGGUUGGCUAGAGUAUGGGAGAGGAUGGUAGAAUUCCAGGUGUAGCGGUGAAAUGCGUAGAGAUCUGGAGGAAUACCGAUGGCGAAGGCAGCCAUCUGGCCUAAUACUGACACUGAGGUGCGAAAGCAUGGGGAGCAAACAGGAUUAGAUACCCUUGUAGUCC